AACGAACGCUGGCGGCAUGCCUAACACAUGCAAGUCGAACGAGACCUUCGGGUCUAGCGGCGCACGGGUGCGUAACGCGUGGGAACCUGCCCUUAGGUUCGGAAUAACUCCCCGAAAGGGGUGCUAAUACCGGAUAAUGUCUUCGGACCAAAGAUUUAUCGCCUUUGGAUGGGCCCGCGUUGGAUUAGCUAGUUGGUAGGGUAAAAGCCUACCAAGGCGACGAUCCAUAGCUGGUCUGAGAGGAUGAUCAGCCACACUGGGACUGAGACACGGCCCAGACUCCUACGGGAGGCAGCAGUGGGGAAUAUUGGACAAUGGGCGAAAGCCUGAUCCAGCAAUGCCGCGUGAGUGAUGAAGGCCUUAGGGUUGUAAAGCUCUUUUACCCGGGAUGAUAAUGACAGUACCGGGAGAAUAAGCUCCGGCUAACUCCGU
rnacentral:rRNA from 1 species